rnacentral:sRNA from 1 species
UAGAUCUGUUUGCCAGUCGGCAGAGGCCUC